UAUGGUAAUGGUGCCGCCGCGGUAAUACGUAGGUGGCAAGCGUUGUCCGGAUUUACUGGGUGUAAAGGGCGUGUAGGCGGGAUUGCAAGUCAGGCGUGAAAACCAGGGGCUCAACCUCUGGCCUGCGUUUGAAACUGUAGUUCUUGAGUACUGGAGAGGUUGACGGAAUUCCUAGUGUAGCGGUGAAAUGCGUAGAUAUUAGGAGGAACACCAGUGGCGAAGGCGGUCAACUGGACAGCAACUGACGCUGAGGCGCGAAAGCGUGGGGAGCAAACAGG
rnacentral:rRNA from 1 species